CUUAACUAGAUGUCACAGUGCAUUUUUUUAUUAUCCCCCCCUUUUCAGCCCGAAUAAAUAAAGGGAAGUUUCUACUGCUGAUAAAAAGUUCAGGCAUGGGACACAUAAUAUAUCAUCUCUUGGAUGCAUUCUAGGGAUUUAAAAGCUGAGAGUCUUGGUGCGGCAAACAUGAGGACCGUGGCGUGAUGGAACAGGCAUGAGCAUGACGAUGAAGAACACGGGCUUGGAUUGGGGAGUGACUGCAGAUGUUAAGAUGCCAUGAUGAGGGAAGUACACAGUUUUUUUUGGGAGGAUACAGAUGAAUGGAAGUUGUAAAGAGUGUUCACGUUUUCAGACUGAAGAGCAGGAGGUUGUUGAUGAGUCAGAUUCAGUAAGAGUAGAUACAUGACAAGAGUUCACUCUGCUCGCAUGUAGGUAAAUGAAAAAAUACAAAGAUUUAACUGUUUUCAAGGUCCAAUAAGUUCAUGCAUUUUCCUUUGUAUGUUUUUCCAUUUAUGACACGUGUCAAAUUUCCAUGAUUUUGUAUCACUGUCAAUGCAAAACCUUGCUUUUCCUAUAAAACUCAAAGAUUUCGUUUAUUUCCCAUGUUAUCUGCAUAAAAAUACUUGGUGGACUAUUCCCUAUUUAAUUGGAGGUCCAAACUGAAAAAUAAUAGCCUAUUUUAUUUCCAUGAAAAACUAAAUGAUGGAAGUAUGAAAUAUAUUUAGGCUUCAAGAACAUGAUGAGGGAGCUGCAUAUCUAACUCGAGACAAUUUCUGUGUUGGCUUUUGACUAGGACAAUUGCUUGAUAUUACUCCAGGCCGUGCAUCCAUUUGUUCGUGCAACGUCUCAGCUUUAUUUACAUUAUAAUACUAAUGAUAUCAUGUAGGUUAUGCAUAUACUGCGAGCUAUUUGGCUAUGUAUUAGCAUCAGGUAUACUAAUAUUUCAUGUUAUUUCUCCAGUCUUCACUUUGGCAUAUCGUCUCACUUUUGGUUUUUUCCAUCUAUAUGUAAAUGGCAUUAUCCACACAAGCAAUGAACCUCCCUACGGGUGUAUAUUUUUAUUCACAUGACAGGUUGUGACGACGCGGUGGGCAACCUGGGUCUGGUCGUUUUCCAUGAUUAUAGCGUAUAAAAUUCCCUGAAUUGUAGAGAAGUGUGUAGACGCAAUUUGUUGUACACAGGGAAGCAAACUCAUUAGGUUUCCAAAAAAACUUCUUGUAGAUACUGGAAGAUAUUAUACCGUGUG